rnacentral:rRNA from 1 species
GACAGAGGGUGCAAGCGUUGUUCGGAAUUAUUGGGCGUAAAGGGCGCGUAGGCGGCCGCUUGCGUCGGAUGUGAAAGCCCGGGGCUCAACCCCGGAACGGCAUCCGAUACGGGGCGGCUCGAGACCGAGAGAGGUGAGUGGAAUACCCAGUGUAGAGGUGAAAUUCGUAGAUAUUGGGUGGAACACCGGUGGCGAAAGCGGCUCACUGGCUCGGUUCUGACGCUGAGGCGCGAAAGCGUGGGGAGCAAACAGG